AGGGCACCACCAGGAGUGGAGCCUGCGGCUUAAUUUGACUCAACACGGGAAAACUUACCUGGUCAGGACACUGGGAGGAUUGACAGAUUGAGAGCUCUUUCUUGAUUCAGUGGGUGGUGGUGCAUGGCCGUUCUUAGUUGGUGGAGCGAUUUGUCUGGUUAAUUCCGAUAACGAACGAGACUCUAGCCUACUAAAUAGACUGCUCAACUUUAUAGCUGUAUCACCUUGCAGUUGCUUCGGUGGCUGUAAGGCUAUGGUGACGUUGGCAGUGCUUCUUAGAGGGACAGGCGGCGGUUCAGCCGCACGAAACAGAGCAAUAACAGGUCUGUGAUGCCCUUAGAUGUCCAGGGCCGCACGCGCGCUACACUGAAGUGAUCAGCGUGCAAUUAACGUUUCCUACUCCGUCAGGAGUGGGUAACCCGUUGAGCCUUCUUCGUGAUUGGGAUAGGGGAUUGUAAUUAUUCCCCUUGAACGAGGAAUUCCCAGUAAGCGCAAGUCAUAAGCUUGCGUUGAUUACGU
rnacentral:rRNA from 1 species